rnacentral:misc_RNA from 1 species
AUUACUUGAUCCAUGACACCCACAGAUUAAUAAACAAAAGGCAGAUGGAGCGCGCCGAACAUGCGAGUGAAGCCACCAAAGCGAAUACAAAAUCAAAAGCGAAUACAAAGUCGCAGCAGUGCUAAAGAUAGCGUCGUAUUGUUUAAACAUCUCGAGUGAUUCAUUAUUUUGUGUCAAAAAAUGCCGUCUUGUGUUAUUAAACAUUGUGAAAGUUGUUCCCAAAAAUAAAAAAAAGAGGAUGGAAUUUCAUUUCACAGAUUGCCGACAGAUGUUGUUCUACGCGAGGAAUGGGUUUCUAUUAUUCGCCAAAGCAGGCAAGACAAUAAUUGGCAGGCUUCAAAAUUUUGCGUUGUGUGUUCAUUACAUUUUAAAGAGGAUGGCUUAUGCUUUACCGAAAAAUAUCGUAGGUUGAUAAAAAAAUAUUCCGAUGUAAUUAUUUGUAAUACUAUCUAAUCUUUUGGUCUAGUCUUUAAGUUGUCUGUAUAUCGAUGUAUGUGUGUGUGUGUGAAUAAAUGAUGAUGAUUAUUAUUAUUAUUAUUAUUAUUAAUAAAUAUUUUAAAUUAUGUAUUUUUUUUAAUUUGUCUAAUGAAAUAAAU